GAAUCGUUAGUCUAUAUAGGGCGUCUCGCUGUUAACGGGAAAGAGGGUAGAGGGUGCUCACGUUUCU
rnacentral:tRNA from 1 species